UCAGGAACUUCUGGUUGCCAGAACUACGAGACAAUACAUACGUUGUUUGAUCCAGCCAGUUUGUGGUCUUUUGUUAAGGCAGCCCUAGCAGAACAAUGCAGAUGGCCCCUCCUUUUAAAUCGUGUAGCCAGUAUCUUUUGCUCCUCUGAAAUAAACCCGGUUCUAGGAAGACUUCAGUGCCACCAGGUCUGCUUACCCAAAUCCAUUGACAAGAACCACACAUUUGCACUACAUGGUGGAGAAACUGAGAUUCAGACAAGGAGCUUCUUGUUCAGCAAACACUACUUAGCCAAUAAUCUAAAUGGAAGUUAAUGGAGAAUUGUUUGACUCAGUGCUAUGGUCUGAAUGUUGUGUCCCUCCCAAAUUCAAAUUCAAAUCCUAACCCCAAGGUGGUGAUAUGAGGAGGUGGAGUCUUUGGAAGGUGAUUAUAUCAUGGGAGUGGAACUGUCAUGAAUGGGAUCAGUGCCCUUGUAUAAAAGCCUCCUCAACCCUUCAACUAUGUGAGGACACGGCAAGAAGAUGCCAUCUAUGAACUGGAAAGUAGGCCCUCAUCAGACUCAGACCUACUGACACCUUGAUCUUGGACUUCCCAGUCUCCAGAACCUUGAGAAAUAAAUUUCUGCUGUUUAUAAGAGGCUUGGUUUAUGGUAAUUUGUUAUAGCAUCCUGAAUGGACUAAAACACCUAUGGUAUUAAGAAUUUUGAGGCCGGGCAUGGUGGCUCAUGCCUGUAAUCCCAGCCUUGGGAGGCUGAGGUAGGUGGAUCAAUUGAGCUCAGGAGUUCGAGACCAGCCUGGGCAAUAUAGUAAGACCUCAACUCUAUUCUAAUUUUUUUUAAUUAAAAGAAAAAAGGAUCUGAAAAUUCUAAAUCUGCUUUCUCCUCUAUUAAAAAAUUUUCAGGGCCGGGCGCGGUGGCUCACGCCUAUAAUCCCAGCACUUUGAGAGGCCGAGGUGGGUGGAUCAUGAGGUCAAGAGAUCGAGACCAUCCUGGUCAACAUGGUGAAACCCUGUCUCUACUAAAAAUACAAAAAUUAGCUGGGCAUGGUGGCGCGCACCUGUAGUCCCAGCUACUCAGGAGGCUGAGGCAGCAGAAUUGCCUGAACCCAGGAGGCGGAGGUUGCGGUGAGCCGAGAUUGUGCCAUUGCACUCCAGCCUGGGUAACAACAGCAAAACUCUGUCUCAAAAAAAAAAAAAAAAUCUUCAGAUGGCAGCUCUUAGUAUACUAGAGUCACAUUCUGAAUAUUUGUAGCCAUUGUCCACAAGGGCAGUCAGAAGACUUAAGUUAGUGGUUUCCAAACUUACUUUUUGGUCUAGAA
rnacentral:lncRNA from 1 species